GACGAACGCUGGCGGCGUGCUUAACACAUGCAAGUCGAACGGAAAGGCCCUGCUUGCAGGGUACUCGAGUGGCGAACGGGUGAGUAACACGUGGGUGAUCUGCCCUGCACUUCGGGAUAAGCCUGGGAAACUGGGUCUAAUACCGGAUAGGAGCCAUUUUUAGUGUGAUGGUUGGAAAGUUUUUUCGGUGUAGGAUGAGCUCGCGGCCUAUCAGCUUGUUGGUGGGGUAAUGGCCUACCAAGGCGGCGACGGGUAGCCGGCCUGAGAGGGUGGACGGCCACAUUGGGACUGAGAUACGGCCCAGACUCCUACGGGAGGCAGCAGUGGGGAAUAUUGCACAAUGGGCGCAAGCCUGAUGCAGCGACGCCGCGUGGGGGAUGACGGGCUUCGGGUUGUAAACUCCUUUCGCUAGGGACGAAGCUUUUUGUGACGGUACCUAGAUAAGAAGCACCGGCUAACUACGUG
rnacentral:rRNA from 1 species